CCCCCAAAAGCAGUGGGAUGAACGGGUUCUGCCCAUCCCCAACCCAGCCUUCCCACUGCGGCCCCGCUGGCACUGGUUGGGGUGUCCCAGGGCAUCUCCCACCUUUGGGGCACCACGGAGGGAUGUGGGCAGCAGUUGGGGGCUUCUGUGGUCUUCGUGCCUAGGGGGGGGUCGGAGCAGCCUGGGUUUGGUUUCCAAGGGGUUCAUUUUGAGUUUCACCUUUCCUGUGGUUAAUUCAGGAGGUUCUUUUGCACGGCACAAUGGUGUUGAUGGCUGGAGGACAGCGCUGCCAUUUCCUUGGGCAUUUUGGGGUUGUUCAACCCCCCUCUCAAAGGCUUUUCCCCCAACUAUUUUCCCCGAAAGGAAACUGCGUGAAGUGCCUUUGGGGAUGCAAAAUAACAAGUCCCUUAAUGGGAUUUGGUCCCUUAAUGUCCUCUGGGGACAGUGGGCUCCGCAACACCCCCAAGCUUUGGGUUUGGACCCCCCCAUAUGGGGGCUGGAUGCUGGAUGUGGAUUGGCAUGCGGGAAUGGCACAGUCUGAUGGCAGUUCCCACGUGGAGACCCAACGGCUGCGCCUAUGGUGAGAUGCCAUGGGGAUGGGACACAGGGACAGGAGGGACAGCGGGCAGCGGGGCUCAGGGGGUGUCCCCAGGCCCUGUGAUGGGGCACUGAGCCACUCUCAGCCCCACGCUCAGCAUCCCAGACCCCAUCCACAUGGGUGUCCUGGGGGAGGCUUGGGGGGGUCCCACCCCUCUCUCUACACCCCAGACAAAGACUUGGCAACAAAAGGCUGUGGGAUGCAGGGAGGCACCCCCUGAGCCGGGGGGUAUUUGUUUAACACACGGAGGGGGGGGGGGGAAGAGCAAGCUGCAUUUCAAAGCGGUUCCCCUUUUGUCAGCCCUUGGCAGCCCCCCUCGGCGCAACAUUCCUGGCGUGGGGCUGCGCAGGGGGUCCCGAUGGGCUCCGGUUACAGAGCGCUGCCCCAUCCCUGCAAGGCAGCUCCCGGCCCCAUGGCUGCUUUCGCAGAGGGGAGAAGGAGAGGACUGAGAAGGGAAAAUGGAAAAACGCAGCCAGAAUGUGGCAGCAGAUGGGCCUGGGAGCCCAUUCAGGGGCUCAUAAGGAGAGGGUCCCCCCAGCUCCAGGGAUUGCUUUCCACCCCCAAGCUGCCCUGGCCGUCACGGCUCCAUGUCCCGUAGUUAAGGGGAUGACCGUGUAGGGCCGUGCCGUCCCGCUCUGCCCCACGGAGCUGGCUGAAACCCACACCGAACACAGUGGCUGGGCAGAUGGAAAGACCAAAUGAUGGCUUUGCAGGGGGGCCGGGUUUGUGUGAGCCAUCCCUGUCUCGGUGAGCGACUUCGAAUAACGGAUACACUUGAGAAAAUCGCCAUCUGCUCCCGGACAAUUCGCAACCAGAGGAAAAGUGCCUCCUGCUUCCAGCUGGGCUGGAAACACCACAAAAACAGACACCACAAUGCAGCACUUUCGUGUUUCAAGUCCUGGAUGAAACGAGACGCAAAAGAUACAGAGCCCAUUGCGUGGGGACAGCGAUGGCGGGGCUUCACCUGGGCACGAGUGCAGAUGUACCUGGAGAAAGCUCGGGUAGGAGCCAAGCAGAGCCCUGCCGUGCUGUCUGAGCUCAGACAAAAGCUCCCGUUUGGUUGGGAUGAUGGGCUGCAGGCGGGCAAAGGCACUUCCCCAAAGUUGGCUGCAGCACAGGACUGGGUGUCCCCAGGGCCUGGGGAGGGCCGGGGGGUCUGGAAUAACCCCACACCCCACGGCCUCACACCCCAUAGCCACGAUGGGUUUCCAUCAGCCAGGACAGCACCCUGAGCACAGCGCUGCCAUAUGGCGAUGGGUACAGCGCUGUGGGGCGGAUGCAAGCACUGUCUGCAGGAGGUCCUGUGGGUGCUGCGAGCACGGGGGACGGCCCCACCGAACACCCCCCCAUCCUCAGCAGGACCCCCAGGCUGGCACCUGUCCCCAUGCGCAGCCCCCCUGCAAAGAGCAAACCCUGCUGGACACCCCAGGAGGAGGAAGAGGAGGAGGAGGAGGAGGACGAAGAGGAGGGGGAGGCAGAAGGGCUGGCAGAAAGCAGCCGAGCAGGAGCGAUGCAGGCACGGCGAGGCGAGGCUGAGCGCGAGGGAGCGGGAGCAGAAAUCUGUUGCCCAGGAUGUGUGCUUUGCUGUCAGCCGGCUCUGAUUAACGGGCUGCCUUCCAGCUCCGAGCCGGCUGCGUUCCUGGCAGCAGCCGAGGCCCCACGGCUUCCUGCCGUAGGAGUGGCUUUGCUGAAAGGUUACAUUUGCACAAUGUGCCGCUGGAAAAGCGGUGCCAGAGGUUGCAGGCGGGGGAGCCGGGCGAGCAGGCAGCUCCGUUCCGUGUAAUGGAAAAAACCCUCCGGGGGACGCGCGGGGAAAUAUCACGUUACGGUCCCCCAGCAGCGAGCCGGGCCGGGCACCGCGCUACGGGACGGGAGAGGGAUGGGGGUGCGCAGCUGUGAAUGGGGACGGAUGGGGUUGUGCCCCCCUCCCUCCCUCGCCAUAGUUUGCGGUGGGUCACCCGAACGCUGCCCCGCGGCACACGGCGGCGAUGGAGGGCGCGUGUCGCUGCCCCUCUGCGGGGAACGAUGGGGUGGUUGGAGAGGAACGACCCACAUGUGGCACGGGAGGGUCUCCUUCGGUACAGCCUUGGAGUCGAAGCGCUGCGAUGUGUGCGUUUGGCCACACACACACACACACACACACACACACGUGCUUCUCACCCCGAGCUUCUCCCACCCUCAGUACCCCAUCACUUUAGGAAGGGGAAAGUUAUUUCGUGUCUGCAAAGCCGCACUCCUCACUGAGCCCACCGCAUCUGCUCCGCGCCCCACACCUUCCCCACAGCCCUCUGCUCAGCCCCUCCCUCCCACCUCCUACCCCCAACGCUCUCCUACAGCACUGCCCCAGGCUGCAGCUGAUGCCACUCUGAGAUGGGACAUCUCGGCCGAGCAGACAUCCCAGCCCACCAAAUGUUCCCGUUCCCUCCUUCAUUGCCCCUUGCAGAGGAAUUUUUCCCCCCUUUUGCUUCCCUUGUUUCCUUGGUUUCAAGGUUUUUCUUCCUCACUGAGCCCCUUACUAAGAGCGGAUUCUGAGUUUCAGGGUGUUGGUGGGGCAGGAAGAGGGACUGCAGCCCCCCCCAGCUUUUCUCUCCCCAUGUGUGGGACCCAAGAGUUGUGCCCCGGCUCCUCGGGUUUGCCCCAAAGCUUUCCUGUAAUCUCACACUCCCCCUGUGUUGCAUCUCAUGCUGGAUCCAACUGGACUCCCAACCCAGCCGCGUUCUGCUGCACAGCACCGCCCAGCCUCAGCCCCACUGCAUCUCCGAUGUCCCUGCCUUCCCUCUUCGUCUGUUUUCAUUAGGAUUUGGAGAUAAGCUUCAAAAUAAAGGCAGUGUUUUUAACCUCCCUGCCUUAUCAGCAUCCUUCCAGCGGGGCCCAGACCCAGCCACGCUGUGUGGGAUGCUCCAGGGAACAGAGACCCCAAAUCUCUCCCCCCACAUCCUGCACAUUUGCUGCCCCACAGCUUGCAGUGGGGCUCCGGAGCGCACUGUUGGCUUUGGGAAGCUCUCUCUGCACCUGGGGACAGCAGUCGCACGCACUCAUGUGCGGGAAUACAAACCCAGCGCCAGCUCAGCACACCUGGAUUUUAUUCCUGGCUCUGCCGCUGACCUCCAGCAGUUGUUUCCCUCCCCUGGGGCUGUCUCCUCUCCUGCUGUCACACCACCAGCACUGCUUUGCCCCAGCGAGGUCCCCAAGCUCCAUCACCCCUUGGCUCGAGACAGAACCCGCUUUGAGGACGCAGCCCUCCCCUGCCCUUCUCCCAAACGAGGUCCCCAACCCGACAGAGUAACACCGCGUGCACCGAGCGCUCGCUCACGGACAGCAGAGAUCUGGCUGGUCGCACGGGGUUGGCUUUCGUCCUCGUUUCCAGCUGCUAAAUUGCAUUAUGGACAGUUAAAAAUACAUCGCAUACUUUCCUAAUGUGACUUUGCCGUGGUAGGCGAGCAGCACCGCCGCCACUGAGAUGCCGGGCAGUGCAAAUAGGGCUGCAGAGCAGCUCCGUGUCCCACGGAGGGGACCUGCAGGCUGGCAGAUGGCUGCCCUGUGCUUUGCCUCAGUUUCCCCUCCGGUGAAAGCAUUUGACAGCAAUGAAAACGCACGGAUGAGAAUUCAGCACUAUUUAGUUGGGCUCUGCAGAAAAAGUGACUUUUUGCGCAGGGAGCAGAGAUGAAGAGGAGUCCAGAAGUGAGCUAGAAACGAUCUGUUAAUAGCAUUAGAGCACAAUAAGUCCUGGGCAUGAUUGGAACUGCAACACGGCAUCCCACUGAAGUGCCAGCAAGACACAGACUGAGGCAGCACCUAAAGCAGUGUGGGUGCAUGCCUGGAGACCUGCCAUUGCUUUGCUGUGGCAACUCAAGUACCCAAAGAGGCAACGAUGGGUUCCCUGCAGCUGGGACACAUCUGCACCCCAGCAAAUAUUUGAGCAGCGUUUGGAGGCUGGGGAGCAGCGGCUGCUCCUGAGUGCUGCGUGUGCCCACCAGCGGAGGUGUGGCAGUGAGGUGCUCUCCCACAUUGGCUGCCUUCUUGUUGGGCACGGAGGUGAUGGAGGAGCUGCAGCACCUGCCCAGCUCUGCACCACUGCAAUGCUGAGACGUGGGGGACUUCCCAUGGGCCCCUAAUGGACACCCCUUCCUAUGGGUCCCCAAUGGUCGCCCCUUCCUAUGGGUCCCCAAUGGACAGCCCUUCCCAUUGGCCAUGAUGUUGGCCAAGGAAUGGUGCAAGAAGGGAUGAUUCCAUGCCCAUGGUAUCAGGGCAUGAGACUGCAUCUGAAUCCAGCACAGCCUCACCAGGCACCUCCUGUAGGACCAGGGAUGGGGUGGGUAGGGGAUCCCACAGCCAGGAAGGGCUCAGCAGGAAAGGGAGAGCUUCAAGAGGGUAAGGAAGGAGUUAAACUCCGGCAGAGCCAGCCCCCACCCUCUCCCUUCUCUGCUAACUUUGGGAGGAAGGGAAUAGUAUAAAGGUAAGAGUGGAGGAAGGAGAGAGAGAGGAGACAGAUGAGAAAGGGAGAGAGAGAGGGAGAGGGGGAGCAUGGAACAGACGGCGGAGAGGGAGCGCGCGUGGGGGAAGAUGCUGACGCUUCUCCUCCAUCUCUGUGCCAUGCAGAUAGAGGGGAGCAAUAAAAAAAUUAAAAAAAAAAAAGAAAGAAAGAGAGAAAGAAAAAAAAAAAAAGGCAAAGACCGAGGGAACAUGGGAGAGGGAGAAGGAAGGAGCCCAAGCAAGGGAGCAUGUGUGAAAGUCGCUGCGAGAGAAGGGGCCUCUUUGAUUCCCCGUGCCUCAUACCAGACAGUGUCUAGACUGCAGCAAUUAUUGUCAGCUCAGAACACCCAGGCAUUGCCAUUUCAGCUGAAAGGGAGCUUAACAAAGAGCGAGGAAGAAAAAAAUACCCUGCGAGCAGUGCGCUAGGCUGCCUGCAGCACGAGGGGCUCUUCGGAGGGCCCUCUGCCAUCCAACACCCCCUGGCAAAUCCCAGCCCUGUGGGCGUGCAGUGGGGCGGGUGAUGCUGCGAGCCCCAUCCUGCUGCAGCCGUGGGGUGGAAGCAGUUCCUGGCCCGUCCCCAGGGCCCCUGGGUGUGCCAAUGUGGGGGAGCUCUCCACUGCAGGCCCUUGGGGUUUGGGAGAGGAAGAGGGGAGGAGGAAGGCUUGGCGCUUUUGCACCCAGUCAGCCACAUGUUUUCAUCGAGUCGCACAAUGGUUCGGUUGGAAGGGACCUCAAAGAUCAUCCAGUUCCAACCCCCGUGCUGUGGGCUGGUCGCCAACCAUCAGAUCACGUUGCCCAGAGCCACGUCCAGCCUGGCCUCGAGCAGCUCCAGGGAUGGGGCACGCACUGCUGAGCCUGUUGGUGGCAGGGAGGCUGCGGUGCGCUGGGACACGAUGGGGUGAUGUUGCCCAAGGAACCAAACCAGCACGAAGACCCUCAGCAGCCCCACAUGGAGCCAGCAGAGCAGCAGUGCCUUUGUCAAGAGUUUUGUUUCCUCUGCACUUUGAGGGGUGCCUGCUGCCUGUUCCAAACCCGGUCUGGCUAGGCUGAACUGAUUGCCAUUGUCACCUCUCUGCCUUUGUGGAAUGGAAUACGUUUUCUGACCUGGCCUGGCUGUGACUGCAAAGCUAAGGGCUUCUUCUCCUUUGAGAUGAUGGUUCUGAUGCCAUCAUGUGGACAUCACCAGCCCCAUCCAGGAUCUGGGCACAGCAGCAGAGCAGAGCUGAUGACAGCAGAGGUCCAACAGAGGUCCAACAUGGAAGAACCUCCCCAGGGAGAGCCGUGGCCUGUUUCCACAUGGGGUCUGUGGAUAUAGGACAUUUCAUCACGUGGUGUUCCCCAUGGAGCUCAGUUUGGGGGCUGGGAACAGCAGCUCAGGGGUCCCAGCACCACCCUGAGCAGCACAGUGUGGGAUUGCCAGAUAUUUCCUGGAAGGGCCCAUGGCUUGUAAUGCUUUGGGCUGGUGUUACAGCCAUGGAAGACACUGAGUUUCCAACCAAGCGCAGCUGCUGCAGUCAUACAAAUACAUGGGGAGGGUUUGGGUCAGAAAGGGUUGGACCUUCACUGGGGACUUUGUGCACAGUGUCCCAUCCGCACUGCAGUGCCAGUGCCCUCAGUGCAGCUCCGGGCGUGGGGCAGAAGACCCCCAGUGCUCUUCCAGCCGUGGGGCUUUGAAACAACCGCUGCGGGGCUCUGCAUCUCAGACCCAACACAACAGUGUCAUGCAGUGGGAACACCACCAAGAUGCCUCUGCACUCUGCCCAGUGCCAGGCUCCCAUCUACACGUGGUUAAGCAACGCGAGAAAGAAGACCUUGCUGUCUCCUCCACCCCACAGGGCAGCUCCGCUGGGGUUGGCACCGCUCCGUGCCCCAUCCCUAUCCCAGGGCAGCCCGAACCUCUCCGCCCCUUCUCCCCCUCCGCAAAGCUGCGUGCUGACGCCAACCUCAUGUUUUCCAGUUCCUUUAGAUUUACCCCCACUCUUUUUUUUUUUUUUUUUUAAUCUCCCCGCUUUCCUUCCUUCCUUUUUUAUUUUUUUUAUUUUUUAUUUUUUUCUUCCUGGGUUAAAAAUAAUCAAGUUUCUGGGAAGCAGCAACUCCUGCUGCGCUGCCUCCCCGCACUCGCCCCGGAGAAUAGCUCAGCCCGGCGCUGGGCUGCGGCCCCUCCUCGCUGCUCGCUCCUUCCUCCUCCCCACCCCCUACAGGGAUCUGACUAAUAUGCUCGGGCUCUGCUUGCCAGCUCAGCUGGAAAGGAAUUUAACCGUUGCGUGGUCUGGAGGGAAGAGCGGGGAGUCCGGAGCUGCCCCGCUGAGCUGCGACCCUCCUCGCAUCGCUCCUGGUUGGCUCCGUGCGUGGCCGCGCUGCCCCGUGCGUGGGGAGGAGGGAUGGGGAAGGAGGGACGCUCCACGCCAGCGCCCAUCGGCCCCAUCCCUGAGCCCCAGGCGGGCGCAACCAUCUCCUCCCCGUGUUCCCUGCCUUCUGUUGGGGGCGAAACGCGGCAGCCCGAGUGCUGUGCUCCCUAACAGCGGGGAUCGUGGGAGUGCCUCCCCCCCCCCUCACUUGCAUUCCCUGUGUGCCAAAACCCCAAAGCGACGCAGCCCGCCGCUCGCCCCAGGCCUCAGCACUGGGUGAUGGAGCAAAGCGGGGACCUGCAGCGUGUGGAUGGGGGUCCCAGCGGUCCCAGCUCUGAGGCAGCAGCUCCGCAGUGGGGCUGAGACCCCGAGCACGGAGCUCUGAGCUCAGAGCUGCUGCAGUGCAGUGCUGUGGCAGCAGCCAGCAGCCCUCCUCCGGGGUGCUGGGAAUCAGCCUCUGCACCAGCACAGCGAGCAAAGGCAGCGUUGUGUUUAGGUUAAAAAAAAAACACGCGGGGAGAAAGCUGCCUUGACCAAGGUUACCCCAGAAAGUCCGUGGCAGAUUCCCCCCCUCCUCACAGCUCCAGCUUGCUGCUGUGCUGCAGCAUCUCCCUGCUCCACUAAGAACUCCCCUCGAGAUCUCCUGGCUGUUGCAGAAGCACUUGGAGGCCAGGACAGCUCAGCCCAGCGCAGAGCAGUGCCAGCCCCAGCUGCACCCUGCCAGGGCACGGAGCGUCCCAGAGCAGGAUGGGAUCCUUCCCACAGCACGUGGCCCCUCCGGAGAUGGGGCUGCGGAGGAGGAAACGCAAACCUACUGCUUUCAGCUCAAAGAUUACCUCAGUGUAAAAGAGGAGAUCUAAAGAAAAUAAGCGAUCUCCAAACGCAGUGAAACAAAAAACCUUUCUGUCCAAACCAAACGUUAUGGCUUGACCUGAACUGAACAGUCAUACCAGUAUGGGGACCUUUUGGGUCCUUAUUUCUUUCACUUUGCCCGAAAGCCCCUCCUGCAUCCCCAUCUCUGUGCUAUCCUGGUCCUACUUCCACACCCAGGACAUUCUCUUUGGGCACCAACCAACACUCUUGCUUCAUUUUCCCAUCAACUUCCAUGGUUCUUCAUCCAUGGACAGACCCAUUGGACGUUCUUCCAUCCACAGACCAGACCCAGUGGAUGAUCUUCACCAAAAGCAAGCAACACUUCAGGUCUCCUCCUUCAUGGACCUGUGAGCCUGCCCCAAGCAUCCUCCAGAGGAAGCCAUGGCCAAGAAGAGAUGGGCACCCGGAAGAUGCUGGUUGGUUUCCCUAUGGCUGCAAUAGGGGAAGCCUAUGAGGAGAGGGCUUCACAAAGAUGUUGGGUUCCAUUUCCAGCCCCCCACCCCUUGCUGGCUGUGCCAGUGCCGUGCCCUCCGACCUGAGGCAAAGAAGUGAAACCCCAGCAAAGUAGCAAACAAGUCGAGGCGUAAACACGGCACGAAUCCGCGGCGCUUCACCGCGGUUCGUUAUCUCUGGUUAGACUGGAGACGGCGGAGCCGGGUUUGAGGAGAGCAGAAAUAUCAGCAAUUAAAGAUAUGUCGUGUCAAA
ensembl:lncRNA